rnacentral:rRNA from 1 species
AGCUGGCCUCUUGGGGCAUGUGCACGGCCUGUCUUGAUUCUAUUCAUCCACCUGUGCACCUUUUGUAGUCUUUUUGGGGGCUGACCAGUGGCUGACUCGGUCGAAAGACUGGAUGUAUGAGGAUUGACUGACUGACCUCUUGGUUGGCCUCUGCCUCUGAGUCGCGAAACCUCCCUCGAGGGGACUAUGUCUUUUAUCAAAAACCAUGUAGUAUGUUGCCAGAAUGUAGUCAAUGGGCCUUCGUGUCUAUAUACAACCUUAUACAACUUUCAGCAACGGAUCUCUUGGCUCUCGCAUCGAUGAAGAACGCAGCGAAAUGCGAUAAGUAAUGUGAAUUGCAGAAUUCAGUGAAUCAUCGAAUCUUUGAACGCACCUUGCGCUCCUUGGUAUUCCGAGGAGCAUGCCUGUUUGAGUGUCAGUAAAUUCUCAACCCCACCAGCUUUGGGGAUUGGAUGUUGGAGGUGUUGCAGGCCUUUCUCUUAGGUCUGCUCCUCUGAAAUGCAUUAGCGGAACCGUUUGCGAUCCAUCACAGGUGUGAUAAUUAUCUACGCCCAGUGGGUCGCUCUCUGUCUUGUUCAGCUUCCAACCGUCCCGUUCUUGUGGACAAACUAUAACUGAACAUUUGACCUCAAAUCAGGUAGGACUAUCCGCUGAACUUAAGCAUAUCAAUAAGCGGAGGA